rnacentral:rRNA from 1 species
AUUGAACGCUGGCGGCAGGCCUAACACAUGCAAGUCGAACGGUAACAGGAAACAGCUUGCUGUUUCGCUGACGAGUGGCGGACGGGUGAGUAAUGUCUGGGAAACUGCCUGAUGGAGGGGGAUAACUACUGGAAACGGUAGCUAAUACCGCAUAACGUCGCAAGACCAAAGAGGGGGACCCUCGGGCCUCUUGCCAUCGGAUGUGCCCAGAUGGGAUUAGCUUGUUGGUGGGGUAACGGCUCACCAAGGCGACGAUCCCUAGCUGGUCUGAGAGGAUGACCAGCCACACUGGAACUGAGACACGGUCCAGACACCUACGGGAGGCAGCAGUGGGGAAUAUUGCACAAUGGGCGUAAGCCUGAUGCAGCCAUGCCGCGUGUAUGAAGAAGGCCUUCGGGUUGUAAAGUACUUUCAGCGGGGAGGAAGGGAGUAAAGUUAAUACCUUUGCUCAUUGACGUUACCCGCAGAAGAAGCACCGGCUAACUCCGUG